GUCGCUUCUCGGCCCUUGGCCGCCUUGGCUAAGAUGAAUUGUAGUGUCUGUUCUUAUCAGGUUAAUAUCUGAUCCUGCCCUCAAUGGGUCUUGGAUAUUAAUUGAAUUUUUGCAGUUCGGUGCUCGUAGGAGCUUGCUCCGCGUGCACCACGGGUCGUCUUGGCGUUGCACUGCAGUCAUGUACGGCCCAGUCCCC